rnacentral:rRNA from 1 species
AUUCCAGCUCCAAUAGCGUAUAUUAAAGUUGUUGCAGUUAAAAAGCUCGUAGUUGGAUUUCUGCCGGGAGCGUCAUGUCUUUCGCCUUGUGCGACUGAACGUUGUCGUCUUUUGGCAUCCUUGCGGAGAUGCGUUUUGGCAUUAAGUUGUCGGGGCGUGGAUUCGCAUCGUUUACUGUGAAAAAAUUAGAGUGUUUAAAGCAGGCAAUUGCUGUGAAUACAUUAGCAUGGAAUAAUAAGAUAGGACCUUGAUACUAUUUUGUUGGUUUGCGUAUCAAGGUAAUGAUUAAUAGGGUCAGUUGGGGGUAUUCGUAUUCCGUUGUCAGAGGUGAAAUUCUUGGAUUUACGGAAGACGAACGACCGCGAAAGCAUUUACCAAGGAUGUUUUCAUCA